CAAGCAGCUGGCUCAGAAGCAGUCAGAAGUGACGUCAGGGAGCCCUGGCUGUGCCAGCCUUGGGACAGGGAGCCCUGGCUUGGCUGCAGAGCUCCCGCGUGCUCACGAUGUGAGUCCCACACUGUGCUGCCCGGGUUAUGUGACCCUGGCCUCCGAUCAGGGCACCGUGGACAUCAGGGCCAGACCAAUUCUUCUGUCAGUGAGGGGAGGUGGGGACCUCGAAACCCAGCGUGCAGCCUGGCAAAAUGACCAAGUGCCGGCCAAUGAGAUACAAAGGGAAGUGUGCAUAAUUUGUAGAAGAGCUUUUGGAAGGGGAAGGAUGACAGCACUUCCUGGCUUUCCGUGCUUCCCUCUGCCUCCUUGUGUGUGUGAGGUGACUGUGAUGCUGGUGGAAGACUGCUCCCAGGGUCCCUGCCAUUUACCAGCAUUCUGUCUUCUAAUCCAUGACUACUGUAUGUGUUUGUUUACUUAAGUUUUUUUUCUUUCAUUAAUUUUGUUAAAAAUCCAUUUCAAGAAAAAAAAUUCAAAACAUGUCAAUCAGGGUCUUCUAGCAAUUUUAUAGUUCCUGUAUAAACCCAGCACCUUGGAAAAACUGGCUCUACACAUGCCGAAGAUUAAAACUGGACCCAUAUCUUUUACCAUGUAUUAAGCUAAAAUCAGAAUGGAUCAAUUUUAAUAUUAAAACAGAAACAUUAAAUCUGCUGGAAGACAAAAUAGGUAGAACUCUUGAAGGCACUGGUGUUUUAGGCAAACUUCAUAAACAAAACCUCUACUGCAUAGGAACUAUCACAACAAUCAACAACUGGGUCUUACCCUACUGAAAAGCUUUUACACAGCAAGAGAAAUCACUAAUAAAGUGAAGACAAUUCACAUCAUGGGAGAGAAUGUUUGCCAGCUGUAACUCAACAAAGGAUUACUAUCAAGAACAUAUAAAAACCCAAUCAAAAAACAGGCAUCUGAGAUGAAUAUACGCUUCUCAGAUGAAGAAAUAUGAAUAAAUAUGUGAAAAAACAUCCAACAUCACUGGUCAUUUGAGAGAUACAAAGUAAAACACUCAGAUUCCACCCAACUCCAGCAAGAAUGGCUGUUAUCAAUUGGACACUUUUAUAGGUAAACAGCUGAAACUUGAGCACAUACUCGUAAGUAAAUCAGACCUAUCUAAACGUAUCGUCUCACUAGUGUGAGUAGAAACCUAAGUAUAUAAAAAAUAGUUAAGACAGUUAUAUUACUGAUUUCUUUGACUUCAUUGAAGACAGAUUUGUGCUGGCAUUGUUCAGACAAUUGGACACAGAUGCCUUGUGCUUUGGGUGACUGAUUUGGGAAUGACAAUGUACAACAUACGUACUGUUGUUGCCCUGAUUGAUGCGUUUUGAAAUUCUCUUUGAAAUAAAAUGGACUUGGAAAAAAAAAAUCCAUUACCUUUUUGCUGUUUUAUUGUUUUAGAUGCUGCAAGUAAAAUGCUUGCUUUCUCAAUUUCUUCUUGGAUUACAUACUGCUAUUGUACAGAAAUAUAACUGAUUUUUCUUUUUUGGUACUGGGGAUCAAACUCAGGACCUAUAACUGGUUAAACUCAU